rnacentral:lncRNA from 1 species
AUUCCCAGCUAGGGUUUUACUUUUCUAAUGAAAUUAGCCUGUGGAUCUUUAAAAAGUAUGAAUAAAAAAAGAGGACAAAAUGGUCAAUUAUUACAAAGGAGUAUAAUGAGACAAAGGUUGUUGUUAAAUCUACUCAACAGUUGGGGCUUAAGAACCAUUUUGUUUAGGGGUACAUGGUCAUUAAGUGUUUGUCCUAUGUUGGUAACUGGUCUCCCAUAGUUGUUCCUAGUUCACUUCAACCCCACGAUCCUAAGCACACCUGUACCUGCCCUGGAAUCCCUCAGCCAUGUUUGUCCCACAGAGCAUCACUAUCAAACAGUUCACUGUGGACUCCUCGUAGCAGAAGUACAGUAGGGGACAGCAAGUGUCAGCUCCAUCAGGACCCCUGAUUUAAUUAUUUACUGUGGAACCAUUGUCCUGAGUCAGGAGGAUAGAUGAGGAAAGAAUGAGAGCGUGGCUGGCAUCGCUUCAUGAUUACAUUCUGGGAAAGAUCUUGCCUGUUAACCUCUAGAGAAGGAGGGACGAUACAGACAAUGAAGACUAUAGCAGACUGAAUUACUCUCUGAGAUGAGGACUUUGCUAUUGCCAUUGCAGGUAAGAUGUUUUAUGACUCCAUAAUCAGCAAAGAAUCCUGUCAGUAAGGUCUGAUUUCUUCGCAGUGUUCAUUGGAUCUUUUAAGUCUACAAACCAAUGAUACAAAUGCAAUAUGAAACAAUUGCUAGGAAGCUAAUUGGCAUAUUUUACUCACAGCCCAUUUUAUUUUCGCACAGCAGUGUACUUAAGUUUUCUACUUAAUAAUCUCAGUCUGCAUGUCCAAUAUGGCUGCCACCAUACACACAUGGCUGCUUAUAUAUAAAGUAAUUACUGUGAAGUGAAUUGUAAAAUUCAAUUUCUCUGUUGCAGUGCUCACACUGCAAGUUCUCAGUAGCUACCUGAGCCUUUGGGGCACUGUGUUAGGAUCAGGUUUCUAUUAUUCUGCAAAGAGCUAUUGGACAGCUCUUCACAGAGAAGGCUGCACACAGGAAGAGGGAAGAGAGACAGAUGUGACUGCUUUGAGGCAGGCAUGCGAAUUGAUCCAUCCAUGGUUCACUGAAGGCCCCUGGAAAGAGAAUCAGGAAGAGAACUCAGCAAUGAGAAAAGAAAGAAACUGUAAGGAGACCCCAGUCCCAAGCACAAGUUCUUCUCACUUCAUGAAUAUUUAUCCUAUUGCCCCCAGGGAGGCUAUGAAUGGGUCAAUAAACAAAACUGUCCCUGAAAGAAAAAGACAGAGGUCAAAGGUGGCUCAUGUGGAUCACUGAUGAGUACCCUGGGGUGUCUGAAUGGAGGGCUUUGACUAAGCCCUGUCACUCAGGAGGUCCAUCGUGAAAAAUCCCAUUUAUUAUCUCUUUCGGAUAUGAGCUUAGUCUGGCUAUCUAAAAUAACAUGGGCUGUAUUCUUGGGCUUCUGUGCACUAAAGCAGUGUAUGAAUCAACCAAGAACCCUAUAAAUGAACACUAACAAAAUGGGUCAUUGCUCUUUCAAAUAUGUGGGUAGUACAAUAAGAAUCUUUACUAAUGUAUUUAUGAAGCUUGACAUUCUAGCAAUGUAUUGAUCAAGGCUGAUGCCAUGGGGCAAGGAACAUUUGGAUAGAUGUUUGUUCUUUUGACAUAUUGUGUGUUUUUUAAAGGGAAGAGCAAAAUAUUUAUUUAAGAUGAUUAUUAACUAAAUAAAAUCUGAGUAGAAGAGGGCUUAUACAUGAAUCUAGGCUGACAGCUCGCCCCAGAUGAACAAUUAGGGUUUCUGUUCUACUUUCCACUGUAUUUCAAUUCUGUCCCUCACUUUAAUUUAAAUAGUUAGAGACAUGUGUUAAUCCUUCCAUGACUGAACAUACAAUGUAAUCUGGAAUUAAUCUAUUGUUCCAUUUUUGUGGAAUCACAGUUGUAAUGGCAUUAUCAUAUAUAGAAAAAGGACAUUACUAUCUCAAUUAAUCAAGCUAAGCUGCAGGACCUUUUAUUAUGAGAGAAGUAGAUAGUUACAGUACCAACGAAAUUAGAGAAACCUAAUAAGUGGAGCACCUCACAUUUUUCCUAUUUUUUUUCUAUUAUUUAUUUAGACAUAAUACAAUAUUAUAAAGUUUUUGUUUUGUUCCUUGAAGUUGCAGGGUCAAAGAGUUACAUAUGCAACCACAUAUAUAUUAUAUGCAUAUGUAUGCAUAGGCUCCUGUAGAGACACCUUGCCUAGGUCCAGUCAGAAUAUUUCACUCUUGACAGACCCAUGAACCAGUCUUGGUGUUCAUGUUUGUAUCUAGUUUGCAGUUAUUGGAAAGUUACUACUUAUUGUAAUCUCAGUGGCUUUGCCAGCAAGCUUAUUCCUUAGUCCCAUCAAUUUUUGUUGAGUUAUAAUAAUCUGAGUACUUUUGGCUAUAAAAAUAUGAGUUUAGACUUGAGCUUCCUAUCUGACCAUCUGUACAAUGAAAUAGUAAUUUUCAUUUUGUUACUGCUUUGUCCUCAGAAUGCAUGCACCAGUCCCCAUUGUUCUCAGGUUAGGAAGGAAUGGAUGUUUAUCGUCCUGAGUCUUCUUUGCUCAUAACCACUGGCUUCCCAAUUCACUGUCGGUCUCUGUUCUAAUAUCAGAGGGGAAAAAAAAGAAGACAUUCUUAAUUUCUCAAACUUGAUUAGAAAAAUGUUGCAAAAACCUCAUCACACGCUCAAAUCAGACCCCAAACACAUAAA